rnacentral:siRNA from 1 species
AUAUGGUGGAUGUAUUUGAAUCAU